rnacentral:rRNA from 1 species
UGCGUAGGCGGUGAUAUAAGUCGGAUGUGAAAUUUCGGAGCUUAACUUCGGAGCUGCAUUCGAAACUGUGUCACUUGAGGAAUGGCGGAGAAAAUGGAAUUCCAUAUGUAGCGGUGAAAUGCGUAGAUAUAUGGAAGAAUACCUGUGGCGAAAGCGAUUUUCUAGCCUUCUCCUGACGCUGAGGCACGAAAGCAAGGGGAGCAAACA